rnacentral:lncRNA from 1 species
UGGUCAAAGUUGACUUAGAAGUAAUAUUCAAAAUAAGUGUUGUGAAAAGAAAGUUUGAAAAUCCAAAGCAUAAGGCUUAGGUUUCUAAUGUUGAAAACAAAUGCUAAAUGUUUGCACAAAAAGUUUUGGCUUGGGUUAGAGUGGAGAGAAGAAGAAGAAGGGCUAAGAUCCUAAAGCAUGCAAAGAGGUGAGGGGUAAGAAACAAAACCACAAUGGAGUUCCUCUCUUGAGAUCAUAGUGAUGAUCCAAGUAGCUCCCAUCCUUUGGAAUAAGCAAACAAACAAAGCAUAAACUCAAGCAAUCAACAGUCAAAUGAACUCUUGGAAAGACCCCUCAAUGUAUCUUGGAUCUCUCUCUCUUGGAAGCUCAGGGCAAUGGUUCCUCAAUUAAGCUCAAGUUGGAACUCCUAGCACAAGAAAACACACAUCAAAAGGUUCUAUAAUACAAUCAAAGAAUGGACAAGAGGGAGUUUAGAAUAUGGUCCUUUCAAUGUUCAUCUUCAAGAUUAAGCAUUCUAAAGGCCCCAAUGCCUAGUUGCUCUUUGACUUUUUAUAGCACUCUAAAGGCCCAAUGCCUAGUUGCUCUUUGACUCCAAAUUUGCAUAGGGAAGAUCCUAAAGUCUAAGUCCAUUUAUCCAAUUCUUUGCAUUUGGUUCACAACAAUCAAAACAAAACACAAGCA